UUAAAGUUUCGUUAAGAAAUUUUAAUGUUUCGAUAGUUAAUUAUGAAAAAGGAUUAAAUUGCAAUAGGGAUAAAAGUUUAAUUAUAGAUUAAAGAAAAGUUAAAAGGACCAAAUAGGCAAUUAUGCCUUUUUCCAAAGUUGAGGCGGCAUAAGUAUAAAAAUCUGAGAUUUUUAUGUGUUAAAAAAAUAUUAUAUUAUAGUAAUGAUUAUGUUUUUAUAUUAUAUUAUUAUUAAUAUAUUAUAUUAUAUUAUAUAUAUACAUAAAACAAAAGAAAGAAUAGAAAAAAAAGAAAGAAAAGAAAGAGAAUAGAAGAGACGAAACAGAGAAAGAAACAGAGAGCAAAACGGGCAGAGAAGGAAGGAAAGAAAGAAAGAAAGAAAGAAAAAGAAAAAGGGAAAUUUAAGGUUUUAAGGUUCCAAGCUCAAUUGGUAAGUCAAAUUAAGUCUUUUUCUUAUAAUUUUUGAGUUUUUGGAAUCCUAGAGAUAAUACUACUUGAUUUAUGUUGAUAUUUUGAAAGUUAGUAGAUUGUUAGACAUGAGUUAUGUUGAAUUAAUUGAUGAACUAGAGGUUAAAAUGAUUGAAUUUUAAGUUAGAAGUUAGUAAAAGAUUGAUUUGUAAAAUAAAAUAUAAGUUUUGAAUUGAUAGGGCUUAAAUUGGAAAAAAAAUACCAAUAUUCAUAAGUAUAUGUUAGAGUGUGAUUUUGAUAUUGCCAUGGAAGGGAAAAAUGAUCAGCAUGUCAUAAAACAUAAGAAAAUAGGAUGAAGUUUAAUUUACGAGCCUUGGGGCAAAAGUGCAAAUAUGUGAAAGUUUAGGGGUAAAAAUAUAAUUUUGCAAAAGUUUGGGUCAAGGACUGUUUUAAUAAAUUUGAAUAUUAAAUAAGUUAAAUUUGCUAUUAUAGAUCAAGAAGAACGAAAUUCGGGAGUAGAUCGGGGAAAAGAAAAAGUAAAGGACUAAAUUGUAAAGUUUAGUCACAUUUUGUAUCAAGGUAAGUUUACAGUAAAUAAAUGCAAUAUUCUUUUAUUUUACAUUAUUAUUGUCAAUUUCCAGCAUUUAUAUAUUUAUGUUAUGAAAAUAUUUAAAGUCGAAUUUAAGGUGAAGUGACAGAGGAAAAGUGUUAGAAAGCUCCGGUUGAACCCUAGGAAUGUUAGGAUAUUAGGGUUGACAGGACAGAACAGAAAUGAGCCAUGUAAGUCCAUAUUAGAAAUAUGGCUUUGGAGACAGGAUUGAGCCAUGUAAGUCCAUAUUAUAUAUGGCAUUGGAGACAGGAAUAAUUCAUGUAAGUCCAUGUUAAAGACAUGGCAUUGGCAGGAUAUUGAUAGACAGGAACGACCCUAGUAUCCUUAGUAUUCCGAGUGGUUCAACGGGUCAGGGUACGAGUUAAAUUACAGUGAAUUAACAGCAAAGGAAAAGUAGAUUAUAUUUAUGAAAACGGAAAGGUCAGGUAAGAAAGAAGGUAAGGGAAUAAAGAAGAAGAUAUAAAUUGAGAAGUAAAGAAAUUUAUGAUGUUAGAUGAUAUUAUGCAUAAUUAUCCAUUAUGUUGAAUGUUGUGAUUUAUUUGCUUGUAAGCUUACUAAGCCUAGUGCUUAAUCUCUUUAUUUUCUUCUUCUUAUAGUACUUAUCUAGCCACUCGGGGAUCGAAGGAAACGUCGGAGGCCGAUCACACUAUCAAAGAAAUAACUCGGUAUAAUUAGACGUUUUGUUUUGUGUAUGGCAUGUAUAGAAACUUAGCUACUUUUGGUAUAAUAUGAAUAAUGAGUGAUGUGUAAGUAGUUGAUGAUGUAUGGUUAUUAAAAUGAUUAAGGAUGAAGGUGUUUGUUGUUAUGAAAGAUUAGGUGAUAAAUUAUGCAUGGAAAUCAUAAAAGGAUAAAAUUUUGCAAAGAAACAGAAUUCAGGCAGCACAGUGACGUGAAUUUGAAAAAUCACCCAAGAUAGUAUAAAAUGAAUUAGAGGGUGAAUGAUAUAUGGAAUUAAAGCUUGUUGAGUCUAUUUUCAUGGAAAAAUAACGGUGUAGGAAAAAGAAAUUUAUAUUUUAAGAUAUGUGAAUUUUAGUAAGAUAGGGUCAGAACUGUUUUUGGAGUCCCCUAAUCUGAGUUUAGAAAAUAAUUACAAAUUGUAAAAAAAUGGUUAUGAGUUGAAAUUUACAUGCUUAGAUUCCUUAAUGAGUCUAUUUUCUAUAGAAACAAGUAAGAACUUCAUAUGAAAAUCCUAUAGCGAGAAAACUUAUUCUUAGUGACUAGAGGUCAGGGCAGUCUGGUGGUGACACAGGGGAGACUUUAACUAAUAAACUGUACUAAUUUGCUGAACAAAAAAUUCUAAAAAUUUUAUGGUGAGUAGAUAUAUGAGUCUAGUUUCAGGGAAAAUUUACGGGAUUAAAUUUCGAGUUCUUUAGCUCAAGUUAUAAUUAAUUUAGUAACUGCUGCGCGACUAGACAGAUUUGCUGCGAAUAAUGAAAUAAAUUUUCAAACCUAGUUUUUAUGCUCCGAACUGGUAAGAUAAGCCAAGUAAUGCCUCGUGCUCGACUCCAGAAACGGUCUCGGGUAAGGGGUGUUACAUUUAUUGGUAUCAGAGCAGGUUUAGUCGGUUCUCGGAACAGUUAGUGUGAGAAAAAGUCUAGCUAUACAUGCCAUACUUGUAUUUUGAUAGUGUGGCGACUCCUGACAAUUUUUUUUAAUAAACAUUUUGUUUUAUAGUAAUGGAUCCCGGGCGAGCUGGUGAUGAUGAUGUAGAAAGUAAUGCGCCUGCUUCCACAGAAGGGGCAGCGCCAUCUGAGAAUAGGCCAGUAAUAGUUGAUCAGGGAGGAGUGACUCGAGAAGCUCUCUUCCGAGCUUUGAAUGAUUUGUUUGCCGAGUUCGUUCGUACGAAUCCGGCAGUUAGACCUCCACCCCCUCAUGAUUCUCAGGCUACCCAUGCAGCUCAAGCUUCCCUAGUCACAGGUACAAUGGUAAGAGAAAAGCCACCAGUUGAUAGAAUCAGGAAACAAGGGGCAGAAGAGUUCCGAGCAACAAAAGAUGAUGAUGCAGAAAGAGCAGAAUUUUGGUUAGAAAAUACUAUCAGAGUCUUCGACGAAUUAUCUUGUACACCCGAGGAAUGUAUGAAAUGUGUAGUAUCACUUCUUAGAGACUCAGCCUACUACUGGUGGAAGACACUUGUAUCAGUUGUACCGAAAGAGAGGGUCACUUGGGAUUUCUUUCAGGAAGAAUUUCGUAAAAAGUACAUCAGUCAGAGGUUUAUUGACCAGAAAAGAAAGGAAUUCCUGGAAUUGAAACAAGGCAAUAUGACGGUGACCGAUUAUGAGCGUGAAUUUGUUAGGCUCAGUAAAUAUGCUCAAGAAUGUGUGUCCACAGAGGCUAUCAUGUGUAAAAGGUUUGAGGAUGGGUUAAAUGAUGAUAUCCGACUGUCAGUGGGUGUCCUAGAAAUAAAAGAGUUCGUUAUUUUAGUUGAGAGAGCCUGUAAGGCAGAGGAGCUAUUAAAAAGAAAAGGCAAAGUUGAGACAGAGACACAAGAUACAAAGAAGAGACAGAUGAGCAGAUAAUUUCAGGCUACAUCCAAGAGGCCCAAAGAGUUUUCUACCAGAUUUAGCUUUUCGGCAGGGCAAUCUAGUCAGAAUAGAGGUAGCAAAUUUAAGGAUCCGAAGGCUCAGACCACAUCGACUACGAGUGUAGGUAAUGUCAGACAGGGUAGAUCAGGGUGUCCACGGUGUGGUAGACUUCAUUAUGGUCCUUGUCGGGCAGGCGAAAAUGUUUGCUAUAAAUGUGGUGCUCCAGAUCAUUUUGUACGAGAAUGUCCAGAAAUGGCUAACCGAGAGGUAACACAGAGUGCUAGAUUCGGAAAUGCUCCUACUAGAGGCAGAUCACCGAGGCAACUAGGAGUAGGAGCAAGUAACAGAGGUACCUCUGGAGAUUCAAUUGUGAGACCAGAUGUUAGAGCCCCUGCAAGGACUUAUGCUAUUCGUGCACGCGAAGAGGCAUCCUUCCCCGAUGUGAUUACGGGUACAUUUUCUCUACAUGAUAUUAAUGUCAUUGCUCUGAUUGAUCCGGGUUCGACUCAUUCUUAUGUUUGUAUGAAAUUGAUGCCUAGUAUAAGUAUGCCUAUAGAAUCUACAAAAUUUGUGAUUAAAGUAUCGAAUCCAUUAGGCAAGCAUGUAUUAGUAGAUAAAGUAUGUAGAAAUUGUCCUUUAAUGAUUAGAGGCUACUGUUUUCCGGCCGAUCUCAUGCUAUUUCCAUUUGAUGAGUUUGAUGUGAUUCUUGGUAUGGUGAAAGGUGCCGGAUAUUUACCGAUCAUAAAAGCUUGAAAUACUUGAUGACUCAAAAAGACUUGAAUUUGAGGCAAAGAAGAUGGUUAGAAUUGCUUAAAGAUUAUGAGUUAGUGGUUGAUUAUCACCCAGGUAAGGCAAAUGUAGUUGCUGACGCUUUAAGCAGGAAACUUUUAUUUACAUUGCAAGCUUUGAAUACCAAUUUAGCCAUGUUAGAUGAUAGUUCUAUUUUAGCUGAAUUUAGAGCUAAACCGGUAUUUCUUGAAGAGAUUUGUGAAGCUCGGAAAGAUGAUAAUGAGUUACAAGCUAAAAGAGUUCAAUGUGAGUCAGGCAUAGAAUCAGAUUUCUGGAUUGGUUCUGAUGGUUGUUUGAUGUUUAGAGACAGAAUUUGUGUACCAAAGAAUGAUGAGCUUAUUCGAAAGAUUUUACAGGAAGCACAUAACAGUUUUUUAUCUAUUCAUCCAUGCAGUACAAAAAUGUAUAAUGAUUUGAAGAAAUUGUAUGGGUGGGUAGGAAUGAAAAGAGAUAUUUCAGAGUUUGUUUUUAGAUGCUUGAUUUGUCAAUAGGUAAAGGCCGAACAUCAGGUACCCUCAGGAUUAUUGCAACCUGUGCUAGUUCCGGAAUGGAAAUGGGACAGAGUUACUAUGGAUUUUGUGACAGGAUUGCCGUUAACACUGAAAAAGAAAGAUGCAGUAUGGGUUGUGAUUGAUAAGCUAACUAAGUCGGCUCAUUUUAUCCCAAUCCGUAUGGAUUAUUCACUUGACAAGUUGGCCGAGUUAUACAUUUCAGAGAUAGUUAGACUACAUGGAGUGCAUUAUUGAUGUUGAAGUAUUGUUCUAUCUAUAUGGUUGGAACGUCAGUUCUAUUAUGGCAUUAUGGUUUUUAAUCUAUCUGAUGGUUGUGGCUUCGGUAUAGUUUAAAGCUUCGAUGUUAAUGAUUGAAAUAUUUUUAUUAUAUAUAAUUCCUUUCUAGUUUUCGUGAAAGGGGUUGACAUCGGCAAAAGUGUAGAUGGAGGAAGAUUGAGCUCAAACUUGUAUUUUGGUUUUCACUUCUCAGGUAAUUCUGAAAUUAUGUCAACAAGUCAAUAAUGGAAUGUCAAAAUUCGUUUGAGUUAAAUGCUAUUUGUGGAAAUUUUCGAUUGGUGUUCCGAGAGGAUUAUGAUAUAUGGUAUAUCUGGAUUGUUUUGACAACAAGAAGAUUGGAUUAUUCUGAAAUGUUAUUAUCUGAUAGAUAAAAUCGACUCAGUUGUUUUAAUCAGAGUGGGUUAUUCAUUGAAAAGUUAAUUGAGUUAUAAUCAGUGAUGGAAUCAGUACAUCUUGGGUCUCCACAAUGGGUUUAAAUUAUCUGUUUUCUUAUCGCUGGAUGGGUUUCCAAGAUCUUCGUUCAAAGGUAUUAAAUAAGAUAAUUCGGGUUUCUCAGUUAUGUUUCGACAGACAAUUACUGGACAUUUCUUGGUAGUCAUACUACUAGUGAAAAAGUGAUGGCAAGAAAACAUCAGAGCUGCUCAGUUAAGUUCAGGCAUAGUAUCAAUUUCUAAAAUGAGUUUUGGUAUGAGUUCGGAAGUGAUAUGAGUUAUGAUUAAUUUUUAUGGACUUCGAUUGAAAGGGGUGAAGAAAGAUUUGACUUAAUAGCUUGUAUCAGGUGAGAAAUUUCGAGGACGAAAUUUUUUUUAAGGGGGGGAGAGUUGUAACAGCCCAAUUUUCAGUAGUGUCAGAACAGUGAUUUGAGAUCACUAAAUUCGAUGAAGAAGUUAGAAAUAUUUUUGAAUUAGUGAAUUUUGUGAUUUAAAAGAAAUUAUUAGGUAAAUUGGGUCGAAAACGAGGUAUCGAGACCUCGAUAUUAUAAACUGAGCCGUAAAUAUUUUUAUAAAUAUUUACGGAGUGUCAAUAGGAUAAUAUUAAAGUUUCGUUAAGAAAUUUUAAUGUUUCGAUAGUUAAUUAUGAAAAAGGAUUAAAUUGCAAUAGGGAUAAAAGUUUAAUUAUAGAUUAAAGAAAAGUUAAAAGGACCAAAUAGGCAAUUAUGCCUUUUUCCAAAGUUGAGGCGGCAUAAGUAUAAAAAUCUGAGAUUUUUAUGUGUUAAAAAAAUAUUAUAUUAUAGUAAUGAUUAUGUUUUUAUAUUAUAUUAUUAUUAAUAUAUUAUAUUAUAUUAUAUAUAUACAUAAAACAAAAGAAAGAAUAGAAAAAAAAGAAAGAAAAGAAAGAGAAUAGAAGAGACGAAACAGAGAAAGAAACAGAGAGCAAAACGGGCAGAGAAGGAAGGAAAGAAAGAAAGAAAGAAAGAAAAAGAAAAAGGGAAAUUUAAGGUUUUAAGGUUCCAAGCUCAAUUGGUAAGUCAAAUUAAGUCUUUUUCUUAUAAUUUUUGAGUUUUUGGAAUCCUAGAGAUAAUACUACUUGAUUUAUGUUGAUAUUUUGAAAGUUAGUAGAUUGUUAGACAUGAGUUAUGUUGAAUUAAUUGAUGAACUAGAGGUUAAAAUGAUUGAAUUUUAAGUUAGAAGUUAGUAAAAGAUUGAUUUGUAAAAUAAAAUAUAAGUUUUGAAUUGAUAGGGCUUAAAUUGGAAAAAAAUACCAAUAUUCAUAAGUAUAUGUUAGAGUGUGAUUUUGAUAUUGCCAUAGAAGGGAAAAAUGAUCAGCAUGUCAUAAAACAUAAGAAAAUAGGAUGAAGUUUAAUUUACGAGCCUUGGGGCAAAAGUGCAAAUAUGUGAAAGUUUAGGGGUAAAAAUAUAAUUUUGCAAAAGUUUGGGUCAAGGACUGUUUUAAUAAAUUUGAAUAUUAAAUAAGUUAAAUUUGCUAUUAUAGAUCAAGAAGAACGAAAUUCGGGAGUAGAUCGGGGAAAAGAAAAAGUAAAGGACUAAAUUGUAAAGUUUAGUCAAAUUUUGUAUCAAGGUAAGUUUACAGUAAAUAAAUGCAAUAUUCUUUUAUUUUACAUUAUUAUUGUCAAUUUCCAGCAUUUAUAUAUUUAUGUUAUGAAAAUAUUUAAAGUCGAAUUUAAGGUGAAGUGACAGAGGAAAAGUGUUAGAAAGCUCCGGUUGAACCCUAGGAAUGUUAGGAUAUUAGGGUUGACAGGACAGAACAGAAAUGAGCCAUGUAAGUCCAUAUUAGAAAUAUGGCUUUGGAGACAGGAUUGAGCCAUGUAAGUCCAUAUUAUAUAUGGCAUUGGAGACAGGAAUAAUUCAUGUAAGUCCAUGUUAAAGACAUGGCAUUGGCAGGAUAUUGAUAGACAGGAACGACCCUAGUAUCCUUAGUAUUCCGAGUGGUUCAACGGGUCAGGGUACGAGUUAAAUUACAGUGAAUUAACAGCAAAGGAAAAGUAGAUUAUAUUUAUGAAAACGGAAAGGUCAGGUAAGAAAGAAGGUAAGGGAAUAAAGAAGAAGAUAGAAAUUGAGAAGUAAAGAAAUUUAUGAUGUUAGAUGAUAUUAUGCAUAAUUAUCCAUUAUGUUGAAUGUUGUGAUUUAUUUGCUUGUAAGCUUACUAAGCCUAGUGCUUAAUCUCUUUAUUUUCUUCUUCUUAUAGUACUUAUCUAGCCACUCGGGGAUCGAAGGAAACGUCGGAGGCCGAUCACACUAUCAAAGAAAUAACUCGGUAUAAUUAGACGUUUUGUUUUGUGUAUGGCAUGUAUAGAAACUUAGCUACUUUUGGUAUAAUAUGAAUAAUGAGUGAUGUGUAAGUAGUUGAUGAUGUAUGGUUAUUAAAAUGAUUAAGGAUGAAGGUGUUUGUUGUUAUGAAAGAUUAGGUGAUAAAUUAUGCAUGGAAAUCAUAAAAGGAUAAAAUUUUGCAAAGAAACAGAAUUCAGGCAGCACAGUGACGUGAAUUUGAAAAAUCACCCAAGAUAGUAUAAAAUGAAUUAGAGGGUGAAUGAUAUAUGGAAUUAAAGCUUGUUGAGUCUAUUUUCAUGGAAAAAUAACGGUGUAGGAAAAAGAAAUUUAUAUUUUAAGAUAUGUGAAUUUUAGUAAGAUAGGGUCAGAACUGUUUUUGGAGUCCCCUAAUCUGAGUUUAGAAAAUAAUUACAAAUUGUAAAAAAAUGGUUAUGAGUUGAAAUUUACAUGCUUAGAUUCCUUAAUGAGUCUAUUUUCUAUAGAAACAAGUAAGAACUUCAUAUGAAAAUCCUAUAGCGAGAAAACUUAUUCUUAGUGACUAGAGGUCAGGGCAGUCUGGUGGUGACACAGGGGAGACUUUAACUAAUAAACUGUACUAAUUUGCUGAACAAAAAAUUCUAAAAAUUUUAUGGUGAGUAGAUAUAUGAGUCUAGUUUCAGGGAAAAUUUACGGGAUUAAAUUUCGAGUUCUUUAGCUCAAGUUAUAAUUAAUUUAGUAACUGCUGCGCGACUAGACAGAUUUGCUGCGAAUAAUGAAAUAAAUUUUCAAACCUAGUUUUUAUGCUCCGAACUGGUAAGAUAAGCCAAGUAAUGCCUCGUGCUCGACUCCAGAAAUGGUCUCGGGUAAGGGGUGUUACAAAAAGAAACUCAUCUUGUUGUUGCUCAAUUGUAGCUUUUGUCUCUUCAUGUUGUUGAGACUUACAAACCCGCUCUAUGUGUCCAAUACUACCACAUUUUUUGCAUUUGAUAUCGGGCCUCCACCAACACUUCUUUGGCAAGUGAUUUGUCUCUUACAAUGUGAACAUGGUGGAUAUGUAUCGUUGUUGUUAUUACUGCUGGUAUUAUCUUUCUUGUUU
rnacentral:lncRNA from 1 species